GAUGAACGCUGGCGGCGUGACCUCAAACAAUGCAAGUCGAGCGGGGGCGUAUGUAAUAUCGCAAGGUAGAACAUAGCCUAGCGGCGAACGGGUGAGUAACACGUGGGUAACCUGCCUGGAAGACAGGGAUAACGAUUCGAAAGGGUCGCUAAUACCUGAUAAUAUCCUUUCAUCGCAUGGUGAUAGGAAGAAAGGGGAAACCCGCUUUCAGAUGGGCCCGCGUCCCAUCAGCUAGUUGGUAAGGUAAAGGCUUACCAAGGCGACGACGGGUAGCCGGUCUGAGAGGAUGUACGGCCACACUGGGACUGAGAUACGGCCCAGACUCCUACGGGAGGCAGCAGUGGGGAAUCUUCCGCAAUGGGCGCAAGCCUGACGGAGCAACGCCGCGUGGGUGAAGAAGGCCUUCGGGUUGUAAAGCCCUGUCUUAUGGGAAGAAGUCAGUGACGGUACCAUAGGAGGAAGCCACGGCUAACUACGUG
rnacentral:rRNA from 1 species